rnacentral:rRNA from 2 species
GAUGCAGCACGCCGCGUGAGUGAUGACGGCCUUCGGAUUGUAAACCUCUGUUUAGCAGGGAAGAAGCGAAAGUGACGGUACCUGCAGAAAAUGGGCCGGCUAACUACGUGCCGGCAGCCGCGACUAUACGUAGGGCGCCAGCGUUAUCCGGAAUUAUUGGGCGUAAUGAGCUCGUAUUGGGUUUGUCGCGUCUGCUGUCAAAUUUUUAAGUUCAACCUCGGACCUGCCGGGUCUACCGGGAGACUACAUUGCGGAAUGGGAGAUUGGAAUUCCUGGUGUAACGGUGGAAUUCCAUGAUAUCAGGAGGAACGCCGAUGGAUAAGGCGGAUCUCUGGGCCGUAACUGAACUUUCUGAGCUGAAACUGAGGGAGAAAACAGGCUUAGAUACCCUGGUAGUCCACCCCGUACCCUGUGGGAACUAGUUGUGGGGUCCAUUCGCCGGAUUCCGUGACGCAUCUAACCCUUUAAGUUGCCCGCCUGGCAUUAAGCACUCCAAGUGUGAAACUCAAAGGAAUUGACGGGAACCCGAGCAAUUGACGGAGACUGCCACUUACUUCGAUGCAUGUCGUAUAAUCUUACCCAGCGUUGACAUAUUUAAGAACUCUUGACAUCUGCUGACCUCUCUGGACACUCAUAUUUAGGUGGCGCAUGGCUGACUGCAGGUCGUGUCGUGAGAGUUUGCAUUACGUCCCGCAACAUGCUCAACCCUCUCUCUAUGUUGGCAGCACGCAUAGGCGUAGACUCAAUCGUUACUGUCGGCACUAUAUCUUAAGUGGCUGUGACUGACGUCAAAUCAUCAUGCCUCUUAUCUCUUGAUCUUCACGCAUGCU